UGCUAAAAUAGUUUAUAUUAAAAUAUUGAUCUUGUAAAUCAAAGAAAUAAUAGUUUUUAGCAUC
rnacentral:tRNA from 1 species